rnacentral:lncRNA from 1 species
GAGACGAAAGCUGCUGCCAGCAGGAGAUCCUGGGGAAAGGGGGAAAAGGCAGACAGCUGGUCAGCGGGUGCGGGAGCAGACACUCGCGCACAGGAGCUCCCUUCCACCCCGAGAAGCGGUACAAGGGAUGCCGCAGCUUCGCACACCCGCCUCCCUCGAUCUGCUAGCGAGGGCCCGUCACCGUCCCAGCCCGGGGGACGGGACACGACACCCCCCCCCCCCCCCGCCCCAGACCGCUCUCGCUACCUGCGAAGCCCCCUCCGCCAUGGCGCGGACGGACGGACGCUGCGCCUCCCCGGUCCCGCCGCCUUUAACGGGGCCCGCCCCCGCUCCGGCGGAAGCGGGAGGCGGUGCCGAAGCCGGAGCCGGUUAACGGGGAAUGGGGUUGGAGGUGCUGCGGCCCCGGGCCGUGCGCUGGGCGCUGCUGGCCGCCUUCGCGGCCGGGGUGCUGGUGGGCUGGCAGGCGGGCCGUGCCCGCCGCCGGUUCCUCCGCUGGCGCCAGCGCCGCCUCCAGCGCCGUCUCGCCGCCGCCCAGGAGCAGCUGGAGGCGGCUUGAGCAGCCUUGGCCUCGGUGGACGUUGGGUGAGCAGAAACGGAUUCGCCCCCUGUGCCGCUGUCGGAGCCGGUUUGGAAGAGGGCUGGUGAAAAACGGCGUCCGUGGAAUACUGGGCCCUCUCCUCUGUCCUUCAGAAGACGAGAUUCCCAAACUGCGUCAGGCUAACCUAACAAAACACUGGGGAUACAGGAACGACGACACCAGAUGUAUUUCCGUAUUUCAAAGGGUUGUCUGUGUUUGUCUUGCUUUCAGUCCACUGCUGAGAUACGCUGCUCUGCCCUUGCCGAGAAGCGCUGCUGAUACAUUAAACUAGCAAAAAUCACGAGGUGAUGUUCCUAGAUGUGUUUAUUUCUCUGUGAAGGUGAAAACGUACCUUAUGGGUGCUUGUAACGAGUGACGAAUCUCAUUAUGAAAGUACGCACGUGAAAAAAACCUGCGGGGACAACUAAAUGGUGAAAUAGCUGCAUGCGUUGGGAGGGUGAAUGAGCAAAUUAAAGGAAGGAUGCUUGUGCUUCAGAUUCUGAAUUUCUUCCUGUGCUGUGGACAAGGAAUUGUGGAGAUGGUUGUAGCGCGUUCCUUCUUUCUCUCCCAUGGCUAGCAAAUUCCAGAAAAGUAUUUCCUCGAGACUGAGAGAAGGGGGUGCUCCUGCUUUGCGCCAGAGGAUUUACUGCACGCUGUGCAGGCUGCUGGCUUUCAACUAUAUUACUGAACUGUGAAAAGUUCUAGAAGUUUUUUUUGGAAAAAACCCCACUGCCCAGCCCCCCUUAUGAUCAUGAAAUGCUGAUUUCUAGCCAAAUAAGUAGUCCUGUGGCUUUUUGGUAGAACAAGGUUUCAGACCUUUGGAAGUUCCGGGGCGUGCAAUAUCGAGUGCCCGUGUUCAGCAGAGCUGCUGUUCACUGGAGUGGGUGGUCUGAGCCACGUCUGCUCCAUCCCAGUUGUGCUUACUUUACCAGUAAAGCAUGGAUACCUUUUCAUGGUGUGUCUUUUGGUGUUCUUAACCUCGAGACCGGCAGACCGUUAGACCGUUAGAAAUGGGGGCUUCCGUACAGCUCCCAGCGCCACGUGGCC